AUGAAGCAUUUUGAAUUUUGAAAAUCAUGUUUUAUAUAUCUUUUAGGUGUGCUGCAGAUGAGAGGCUGUUUAUCGUAGCGAAAUCUUGUUUAAGAGAGCUGCUAUCAGUGUGUCCUUCAUGCCAGCGAGAUGAUGUUGAGGCUGAUAUCACUCUCAAGGGCACCUAUGUAAGAGCAAAGAUGACUUGCGGUUGCCAAAAAGAAAGGCUGUGGUACAGCCAGCCAUGGGUGGGCAAUAGGCCACUGGGGAAUGUUUUGCUGUGCUGCGGGAUACUUUUCUCUGGUACAAACAUUGCCAAAGCCCUCCGAAUGCUGAAAAUUAUGGGAGCCCCAGCACUCAGGAGGUCCCAGUUCUACAAAACGCAGCAAUGUUAUUUGUUUCCUGCAGUAAACAAUGUGAGUAUGUCUGAUAUUUAGGAUAAGCUGACUGUGUGACUUAUAAAUGACAUCAGUCAGUCCUCUCAUGCAAUAUGUCUUACUACAAGUGCAAAGUCACAGAGUGCAAAAUCAUAUGCAGUGCAUACAGCAUACAUUAAUAUAAGCGCUGUUCAUUUACAGGUAUACGAGACGAAGCAGCAACAACUGCUGGAGGAGCUGCGCCUAGUGCCUUUAACACUUGCUGGUGAUGGGAGGUGUGAUUCUCCGGGUCACACGGAUCUCUAUGGCACGUAUACAUUACUGGAGACCACUGCCAGUCGCAUUGUACACUUCGAGUUAGUCAAGAGGCACGGUCUUUGCUACAGACACGUGGGAUGGCCCUGAAAAGGGCCUUUUUUUCCUUAGACGAGGGGUUGACAACCUUCCAAUGCUUCCUGGGGUGGAUACCGAGAACAGCAUCUUUCAGAAGUCCAUCCAAGACCAUGUUCUUCCUGCAGUGGUGUUGGGAACAAUUUUUUAUCCCUGUAACCAUUCGGUACCAAUUAAAUGGUGACAGGCGCAUGUGAUGCAUAGGAUGAAGAGCCAAAAUGCUGGAAUGUUAUGUAAG